rnacentral:rRNA from 1 species
AUUGAACGCUGGCGGCAGGCCUAACACAUGCAAGUCGAGCGGAUGAAGGGAGCUUGCUCCUGGAUUCAGCGGCGGACGGGUGAGUAAUGCCUAGGAAUCUGCCUGGUAGUGGGGGAUAACGUCCGGAAACGGGCGCUAAUACCGCAUACGUCCUGAGGGAGAAAGUGGGGGAUCUUCGGACCUCACGCUAUCAGAUGAGCCUAGGUCGGAUUAGCUAGUUGGUGGGGUAAAGGCCUACCAAGGCGACGAUCCGUAACUGGUCUGAGAGGAUGAUCAGUUACACUGGAACUGAGACACGGUCCAGACUCCUACGGGAGGCAGCAGUGGGGAAUAUUGGACAAUGGGCGAAAGCCUGAUCCAGCCAUGCCGCGUGUGUGAAGAAGGUCUUCGGAUUGUAAAGCACUGUAAGUUGGGAGGAAGGGCAGUAAGUUAAUACCUUGCUGUUUUGACGUUACCAACAGAAUAAGCACCGGCUAACUUCGUG